UACGGAGGGUGCAAGCGUUAUCCGGAUUCACUGGGUUUAAAGGGUGCGUAGGUGGGCAGGUAAGUCAGUGGUGAAAUCUUCGAGCUUAACUCGGAAACUGCCGUUGAUACUAUCUGUCUUGAAUACCGUGGAGAUGAGCGGAAUAUGUCAUGUAGCGGUGAAAUGCUUAGAUAUGACAUAGAACACCAAUUGCGAAGGCAGCUCGUUACACGAAUAUUGACUCUGAGGCACGAAAGCGUGGGGAUCAAACAGG
rnacentral:rRNA from 1 species